CGCGCAGGCGGUUGUUUAAGUCGGAUGUGAAAGCCCCGGGCUUAACCUGGGAACUGCAUUCGAUACUGGGCAACUAGAGUACGAGAGAGGGAGGUAGAAUUCCACGUGUAGCGGUGAAAUGCGUAGAUAUGUGGAGGAAUACCGGUGGCGAAGGCGGCCUCCUGGUUCGAUACUGACGCUGAGGUGCGAAAGCGUGGGGAGCAAACA
rnacentral:rRNA from 1 species